rnacentral:rRNA from 1 species
CGCAGCCGCGGUAAUUCCAGCUCCAAUAGCGUAUAUUAAAGUUGUUGCAGUUAAAAAGCUCGUAGUUGAAUUUCGGGAUUGACGUGAUGGUCAUGCCUUAAGGGGUAUGAACUGUUACUGUUGAUUUCUCACCUUCUGGAGAAACUUGAUGUCCUUUAUUGGGUGUCUUGCGGAUCCAGGACCUUUACCUUGAAAAAUUAGAGUGUUUAAAGCAGGCAUUUUUGCUCGAAUACAUUAGCAUGGAAUAAUAGAAUAGGACGGCAUGGUUCUAUUUUGUUGGUUUCUAGGAUCACCGUAAUGAUUAAUAGGGAUAGUUGGGGGCAUUAGUAUUCAAUUGUCAGAGGUGAAAUUCUUGGAUUUAUUGAAGACUAACUACUGCGAAAGCAUUUGCCAAGGAUGUUUUCAUUAAUCAAGAACGAAAGUUAGGGAUCGAAGACGAUCAGAUACCGUGUAGUCUUAACCAUAAACUAUGACCGACUAGGAAUCAGACGAUGUUAAUUUUUAAUGUACUUCGUUUGGC